GAAAGACAAAGGAACCAUCUUCUUCCUUGAGGUCAACAAUGGAAGGAGACGUAGAAGACACCAAAACAAGAACUUGGCAGGCUCAGGACAUGACAACGGAGACACAGUUUACAGGACCUCAUUCGCACUCCAAUGACAAUGAAAGGAAGGGGGUGUUGGGCAGAGAAGCAAAGAGCUCCGGUUCUCACCAUCACAUGGUAGCGGGUGUAAGUUUGUUCCCAACAUACCAGACAGAGAGCAACUCUCACCAGAGAAGAUCCCAAUGUGUUUUAUGCUAGAUCUGACUUUAAUUAAGUGUAGACAAUGCUCCCAUCAGUGCUGGAACUGGCCCCGGUAACUUGCUUUAGCUGAUGGAAUGUUACCAAACACAACAUGAUCAAAGGCUUGAGAGAUGAUUUCCCUCCUGUGCUUCCGCAAUUACCAUGAAAAGAACAUGGCCUGGUGGUCCCUGAUCCCCAAAGAAUGACGGACACCUGGA
rnacentral:lncRNA from 1 species